rnacentral:rRNA from 1 species
UACGUAGGGGGCAAGCGUUGUCCGGAAUCAUUGGGCGUAAAGAGCGUGUAGGCGGCUUUGCAAGUCCGUUGUGAAAACUCGAGGCUCAACCUCGAGACGCCGGUGGAAACUGCAAGCUAGAGUCCGGGAGAGGUGAGUGGAACUGCGAGUGUAGAGGUGAAAUUCGUAGAUAUUCGCAAGAACACCAGUGGCGAAGGCGGCUCACUGGCCCGGUACUGACGCUGAGGUGCGAAAGCGUGGGGAGCAAACAGG